rnacentral:rRNA from 1 species
GACGAACGCUGGCGGCGUGCUUAACACAUGCAAGUCGAACGAAGUGGCGAACGGGUGAGUAACGCGUAAUCAACCUGCCCAUCAGAGGGGGACAACAGUUGGAAACGACUGCUAAUACCGCAUCCUGAAGGCGGGGAUUGCGUCUGAUUAGCUCGUUGGCGGGGGAACGGCCCACCAAGGCGAGGCUCAGUAGCCGGUCUGGGAGGAUGAACAGCAACAUUGGGACUGGGAAACGGCCCAGACUCCUACGGGAGGCAGCAGUGGGGAAUCUUCCGAAAUGGAGGAAAGUCUGACGGAGCAAAGCCGCGGGAGUGAUGAAGGCCUUCGGGUUGUAAAGCUCUGUUAAUCGGGACGCGGUACCGGAAUAGAAAGCAACGGCUAACUACGUGCCAGCAGCCGCGGUAAUAC